rnacentral:rRNA from 1 species
UUUGAUUCUGGCUCAGGAUGAACGCUAGCGGCAGGCUUAACACAUGCAAGUCGAGGGGCAGCAUAAUGGAUAGCAAUAUCUAUGGUGGCGACCGGCGCACGGGUGCGUAACGCGUAUGCAACCUACCUUUAACAGGGGGAUAACACUGAGAAAUUGGUACUAAUACCCCAUAAUAUCAUAGAAGGCAUCUUUUAUGGUUGAAAAUUCCGAUGGUUAGAGAUGGGCAUGCGUUGUAUUAGCUAGUUGGUGGGGUAACGGCUCACCAAGGCGACGAUACAUAGGGGGACUGAGAGGUUAACCCCCCACACUGGUACUGAGACACGGACCAGACUCCUACGGGAGGCAGCAGUGAGGAAUAUUGGUCAAUGGACGCAAGUCUGAACCAGCCAUGCCGCGUGCAGGAUGACGGCUCUAUGAGUUGUAAACUGCUUUUGUACGAGGGUAAACGCAGAUACGUGUAUCUGUCUGAAAGUAUCGUACGAAUAAGGAUCGGCUAACUCCGUGCCAGCAGCCGCGGUAAUACGGAGGAUUCAAGCGUUAUCCGGAUUUAUUGGGUUUAAAGGGUGCGUAGGCGGUUUGAUAAGUUAGAGGUGAAAUUUCGGGGCUCAACCCUGAACGUGCCUCUAAUACUGUUGAGCUAGAGAGUAGUUGCGGUAGGCGGAAUGUAUGGUGUAGCGGUGAAAUGCUUAGAGAUCAUACAGAACACCGAUUGCGAAGGCAGCUUACCAAACUAUAUCUGACGUUGAGGCACGAAAGCGUGGGGAGCAAACAGGAUUAGAUACCCUGGUAGUCCACGCAGUAAACGAUGAUAACUCGUUGUCGGCGAUACACAGUCGGUGACUAAGCGAAAGCGAUAAGUUAUCCACCUGGGGAGUACGUUCGCA